CUUUGAGAUCGGGCUUGCGUCGAGUUUUCUGUGACUCGACUCGCGCCUUCUGCUUUUGUUUUCAGCGACGCAUUCUGGAGGAAAGUUGGCAGCAAACCGCGGCUCGGGCAUCGUAGCGGGUUCUUCGAAGGCGGCCAUAUGCAGCCUUUCCAGGGCGAGGGAACCUUCAAACAGCCUCUACACAGCUCUUACCCCCAUCUGUGCUGCGCUGUGGCCACGCCCCCAUCUGUGCUGUGCUGUGGCCACGCCCUGUCUGCACUGUGGCCAUGCCCACUAUAUACACUGUGGCCACGCCUCCAUCUGCACUGUGACCACGCCCUCAUCUGUGCUGCACUGUGGCCACGCCCCCCAUCUGUGCUGUGCUGUGGCCACGCCCCCCAUCUGUGCUGUGCUGUGGCCACGCCCCCCAUCUGUGCUGUGCUGUGGCCACGCCCUGUCUGCACUGUGGCCAUGCCCACUAUAUACACUGUGGCCACGCCUCCAUCUGCACUGUGACCACGCCCCCAUCUGUGCUGUGACCACGCCCCCAUCUGUGCUGCACUGUGGCCAUGCCCCCAUCUGUGCUGUGACCACGCCCCCAUCUGUGCUGCACUGUGGCCAUGCCCCCAUCUGUGCUGUGACCACGCCCCCAUCUGUGCUGCACUGUGGCCACACCCCCGUCUGCAGUGUGGCCACGCCCCCUCUGAGCAUCAUCGUGUGCAGUCAGUGUCCGAAGAACACGGCUGUGCCAUGUGUGGGACCUCCCUGAGCAGCCAGAGCAUAGGAGGACGUCACGUCUUGAGGUCUGGAGGUCCCUAACACCCUCUGAAGGGUAUGUAAGAGCAUUGUCAUGACAACAGGGACUUGAGGUGACCCAGCCCCGCCUCCUCUUGGGAGAUACAAAAGCCACGUAUUCAUCCGUCUGCCCCCCUGUAUCACUCUCUCCAUCUCCGCUCA